rnacentral:rRNA from 1 species
UACAGAGGUCUCGAGCGUUGUUCGGAUUCAUUGGGCGUAAAGGGUGCGUAGGUGGUCAGGUAAGUCGGAUGUGAAAUCCCGGGGCUCAACCUCGGAACUGCAUUCGAUACUGCCUGACUGGAGUACUGGAGAGGAGAUUGGAAUUUACGGUGUAGCAGUGAAAUGCGUAGAUAUCAGGAGGAACACCGGUGGCGAAGGCGGGUCUCUGGGCAGUAACUGACGCUGAGGAGCGAAAGCGUGGGGAGCGAACAGG